AAGCAGGUUCCCUGGGCUUCCCACCAUCUGAUGCUGCAGCUUUUUCUGGAGAGACAUUCCUUCAUCCACCUGACAGGCUGUGAUGGGAGGACACAGAUACUCGGCCAGCUGGGAAAAGCAAAGAGAAGAUGGCAAUGGCGUGUUACGUGCUUGCUGAUUAUCUGAGAAAUGCCUUGGGACAAUUAAUGCUGGUUACCAAUAAAUAUCCUACUUAAAUAAGACAAGAGCAAAAAACACCACUGACCUUGAAGUUCUCUAGAGACUUCUGGUUACUCAGGGACUUUGAAGGAGCAGGGUCCACAACAGGGAAGGCGCUGUCAGUCAGAAGGGUCCUUUCCUCCUGGCUGCUGUGUGCUCUUCUGCCACGGUUUGUACCGGGCUCAGACCUGAGGAAACCAGCUCACCUGCUUUCAUGCUAGCUGUGCUCAGAAGCUCCCAGACUGACUGCGGUCCGUGCAGAGCGCUGACCAUCCAGUGAAGUCAAGUUGCCUUUAAUGAUGCAAGAUUGGCUCUGUGCUGGAUAGCCCUAGUUGGACAGAGGAACAGAGAUUUAGCAGGUGAACCUUCAGGCUCCAAAGACUGAGAACUUGUGACCUGUCAGAUCAGGAGCUGAGACUUCUGUUUGUCACUGCCUGCUCAGUUCUGACGUGCUUUCUUGCUUGGAGCAAAGGAGCUGUGCUUCAAAGACAGCUUUUGGGGAAAUUCUGGUUCAUCAAAGCCUGGUUUGGUGCUUAGGUAAGUUCAGGUUUCAUGGGAGAAUGAAGGACUGGACUCAGAUGUCACAAGAGGAUUUUGCAGAGGUUUAACAUAGCUUGAGCCAAUUUAACAAAUAACUUUCGGUAUUUUAUCUUCACAUCUAGCACUUUAAGGC